rnacentral:rRNA from 1 species
AUACAGAGGGUGCAAGCGUUAAUCGGAAUUACUGGGCGUAAAGCGCACGUAGGUGGUUCAUUAAGUCAGAUGUGAAAGCCCCGGGCUCAACCUGGGAACUGCAUUUGAAACUGGUGAGCUAGAGUAUGGUAGAGGUAAGUGGAAUUCCAGGUGUAGCGGUGAAAUGCGUAGAUAUCUGGAGGAACAUCAGUGGCGAAGGCGACUUACUGGACCAAUACUGACACUGAGGUGCGAAAGCGUGGGGAGCAAACAGGAUUAGAAACCCCAGUAGUCC